ACUCAAAGGAAUAGACGGGGACCCGCACAAGCAGCGGAGCAUGUGGUUUAAUUCGAAGCAACGCGAAGAACCUUACCAAGACUUGACAUCGUCCGACCGGCGUAGAGAUACGCUUUCCCUUCGGGGCGGACAGACAGGUGGUGCAUGGUUGUCGUCAGCUCGUGUCGUGAGAUGUUCGGUUAAGUCCGGUAACGAGCGCAACCCUUAUGAUAUGUUGCCAAUAUUAAGUUAGGAACUCAUAUCAGACUGCCGUGGAUAAACACGGAGGAAGGUGGGGAUGACGUCAAAUCAUCAUGCCCCUUACGUCUUGGGCUACACACGUGCUACAAUGGGCGCUACAAAGAGCAGCGAGCUAGUAAUAGUAAGCGAAUCUCAAAAAAGUGCUCCCAGUUCGGAUUGAGGGCUGCAACCCGCCCUCAUGAAGCAGGAGUUGCUAGUAAUCCCGGAUCAGAACGCCGGGGUGAAUGCGUUCCCGGGUCUUGUACACACCGCCCGU
rnacentral:rRNA from 1 species